GAUGAACGCUGGCGGCGUGCCUAAUACAUGCAAGUCGAGCGAACGGACGAGAAGCUUGCUUCUCUGAUGUUAGCGGCGGACGGGUGAGUAACACGUGGAUAACCUACCUAUAAGACUGGGAUAACUUCGGGAAACCGGAGCUAAUACCGGAUGAUAUUUUGAACCGCAUGGUUCAAAAGUGAAAGACGGUCUUGCUGUCACUUAUAGAUGGAUCCGCGUUGCAUUAGCUAGUUGGUAAGGUAACGGCUUACCAAGGCAACGAUGCAUAGCCGACCUGAGAGGAUGAUCGGCCACACUGGAACUGAGACACGGUCCAGACUCCUACGGGAGGCAGCAGUAGGGAAUCUUCGGCAAUGGGCGAAAGCCUGACGGAGCAACGCCGCGUGAGUGAUGAAGGUCUUCGGAUCGUAAAGCUCUGUUAUUUGGGAAGAACAUAUGUGUGAGUAACUGUGGACAUCUUGACGGUACCUAAUCAGAAAGCCACGGCUAACUACGUG
rnacentral:rRNA from 1 species